UCUCAUUUCUUCUCCUCCUCGCGUGCGCCGUUUCUUCUCGGGCGAAACCGAAGAAACCCUAGUUUCUUCUCCGGCGGUCGGCGGAGGGUUGUCUCCAAGAAUCCUUCACAUUCUCGUGAUCUUCUCGACGUGGAGAGCACAUAGACGCGAAGAAGGCGCUGCGAUUUCGAGUCUCGUCGGAACCCUAGAAGCCUCUUCUCUUCUCGGUUGUAAGUCCAAGCAAAUCCCGGUCUAGUGAAAAUACUGAAGAAGUAUGACAAGAGAACAGGAGCACUUAUUAGGCAGCCCUUCAUCGAAAAGGUGCUGCAGCAGCCAUUCUUUACAACUGAUCUCCUAUACAAACUCGUGAAGGAGUGUAUGGCUAUGCUCGACCACCUCUUCCCCAGCAACAACCUGUCAAUUUCAGCAGAAUGCGACGGACAAAAUGGAGUGCCAAAGCCGACACAAUCAGGUGGGAGGGUUCCGAAGUUGGAGGA